AUUGAACGCUGGCGGCAUGCUUUACACAUGCAAGUCGAACGGCAGCGCGGGCUUUGGCCUGGCGGCGAGUGGCGAACGGGUGAGUAAUACAUCGGAACGCGCCCAGUAGUGGGGGAUAGCUCGGCGAAAGCCGGAUUAAUACCGCAUACGACCUGAGGGUGAAAGCGGGGGAUCUUCGGACCUCGCGCUAUUGGAGCGGCCGAUGGCAGAUUAGCUAGUUGGUGGGGUAAAGGCCUACCAAGGCGACGAUCUGUAGCUGGUCUGAGAGGACGACCAGCCACACUGGGACUGAGACACGGCCCAGACUCCUACGGGAGGCAGCAGUGGGGAAUUUUGGACAAUGGGCGAAAGCCUGAUCCAGCAAUGCCGCGUGUGUGAUGAAGGCCUUCGGGUUGUAAAGCACUUUUGGCGGGAACGAAAAGGACUGUGCCAAUACCACGGUUCGAUGACGGUACCCGCAGAAUAAGCACCGGCUAACUACGUG
rnacentral:rRNA from 1 species